AUUGAACGCUGGCGGCAGGCUUAACACAUGCAAGUCGAACGGUAACAGGGGGUAGCUUGCUACUUUGCUGACGAGUGGCGGACGGGUGAGUAAGGUAUGGGGAAUUUGCCGAAUGGAGGGGGACAACAGUUGGAAACGGCUGCUAAUACCGCAUAACGUCGCGAGACCAAAGGGUGGGACUUUCGGGCCACCUGCCAUUUUGAUGAGCCCCAUAUGAGAUUAGCUAGUUGGUGUGG
rnacentral:rRNA from 1 species